GACGAACGCUGGCGGCGUGCUUAACACAUGCAAGUCGAACGGAAAGGCCCUGCUUUUGUGGGGUGCUCGAGUGGCGAACGGGUGAGUAACACGUGAGUAACCUGCCCUUGACUUUGGGAUAACUUCAGGAAACUGGGGCUAAUACCGGAUAGGAGCUCCUGCUGCAUGGUGGGGGUUGGAAAGUUUCGGCGGUUGGGGAUGGACUCGCGGCUUAUCAGCUUGUUGGUGGGGUAGUGGCUUACCAAGGCUUUGACGGGUAGCCGGCCUGAGAGGGUGACCGGCGACAUAGGGACUAAGAUACGGCCCAGACUCCUACGGGAGGCAGCAGUGGGGAAUAUUACAAAAUGGGCGGAAGCCUGAUGCAGCAACGCCGCGAGCGGGAUGACGGCCUGCGGGUUGUAAACCGCUUUCGCCUGUGACGAAGCGUGAGUGAAGGUAAUGGGUAAAGAAGCACCGGCUAACUACGUG
rnacentral:rRNA from 1 species